AACAGGAUUAGAUACCCUGGUAGUCCACGCCCUAAACGAUGCACACUAGUUGUUGCGAUGCUAGUCAUUGCAGUAAUGCACUUAACAGAUUAAGUGUGCCGCCUGGGGAGUACGGUCGCAAGAUUAAAACUCAAAGGAAUAGACGGGGACCCGCACAAGCGGUGGAGCAUGUGGUUUAAUUCGAAGAUACACGAAGAACCUUACCUGGCCUUGAUAUCCUAAGAAUCCUGUAGAGAUACGGGAGUGCUAGUUUACUAGAACUUAGAGACAGGUGCUGCACGGCUGUCGUCAGCUCGUGUCGUGAGAUGUUGGGUUAAGUCCCGCAACGAGCGCAACCCUCGUGAUUAGUUGCUAACAGUUCGGCUGAGCACUCUAAUCAGACUGCCUUCGUAAGGAGGAGGAAGGUGAGGACGACGUCAAGUCAUCAUGGCCCUUAUGGCCAGGGCUACACACGUGCUACAAUGGCUAGGACAAAGAGACGCGAUACCGCGAGGUGGAGCAAAUCUUAAAACCUAGUCUCAGUUCGGAUUGGAGUCUGCAACUCGACUCCAUGAAGCUGGAAUCGCUAGUAAUCGUAGAUCAGAUAUGCUACGGUGAAUACGUUCCCGGGUCUUGUACUCACCGCCCGUCACACCAUGGGAGUUGAAUUCACCCGAAGCCGGAAUACUAAACUAGUUACCGACCACGGUGGGUUCAGCGACUGGGGUGAAGUCGUAACAAGGUAACC
rnacentral:rRNA from 1 species